rnacentral:rRNA from 1 species
UGCAGUCGAACGGUGAUAGUAAUAUCAUAGUGGCGCACGGGUGCGUAACACGUAUGCAACCUACCUUAUACUGAGGGAUAGCCUUUCGAAAGGGAGAUUAAUACCUCAUAACACAUUGAACUGGCAUCAGUUUAUUGUUAAAGAUUUAUUGGUAUAAGAUGGGCAUGCGUCCAAUUAGUUAGUUGGCGAGGUAACGACUCACCAAGACGAUGAUUGGUAGGGGAACUGAGAGGUUAAUCCCCCACACUGGCUCUGAGAUACGGGCCAGACUCCUACGGGAGGCAGCAGUAGGGAAUAUUGGGCAAUGGAGGCAACUCUGACCCAGCCAUGCCGCGUGCAGGAAGAAGGCGUUAUGCGUUGUAAACUGCUUUUAUAUAGGAAGAAAUAGACCUUGCGAGGUAAGUUGACGGUACUAUAUGAAUAAGCACCGGCCAACUCCGUGCCAGCAGCCGCGGUAAUACGGAGGGUGCAAGCGUUGUCCGGAUUUAUUGGGUUUAAAGGGUGCGUAGGCGGUUUAUUAAGUCAGUGGUGAAAGACGGUCGCUCAACGAUUGCAGUGCCAUUGAUACUGGUAGACUUGAGUGGGAUUGAGGUAGCUGGAAUGGAUAGUGUAGCGGUGAAAUGCAUAGAUAUUAUCCAGAACACCAAUUGCGUAGGCAAGUUACUAAGUCUCAACUGACGCUGAGGCACGAAAGUGUGGGUAUCAAACAGGAUUAGAUACCCUGGUAGUCCACACUGUAAACGAUGAUAACUAACUGUUG